CCUACGGGUGACAGCAGUGAGGAAUAUUGGUCAAUGGACGAGAGUCUGAACCAGCCAAGUAGCGUGAAGGAUGACUGCACUAUGGAUUGUAAACUUCUUUUAUAAGGGAAUAAAACGAGCCACGUGUGCCCUUUUGCAUGUACUUUAUGAAUAAGCAUCGGCUAACUCCGUGCCAGCAGCCGCGGUAAUACGGAGGAUCCGAGCGUUAUCCGGAUUUAUUGGGUUUAAAGGGAGCGUAGGCCGGCCUUUAAGUGUGCCGUAAAAUUUUGUGGCUCAACCAUGAGAGUGCGGCGGAAACUGGAGAGCUUGAGUGCGCGAGAGGCAGGCGGAAUUCGUGGUGUAGCGGUGAAAUGCUUAGAUAUCACGAAGAACCCCGAUUGCGAAGGCAGCCUGCCGCAGCGUUACUGACGCUGAAGCACGAAAGCGCGGGUAUCGAACAGGAUUAGAUACCCCAGUAGUC
rnacentral:rRNA from 1 species